AUUUGUAAACGUAUACUUCUAACCCACUGCACUCGGUUCCCAGGAAGGAGUCCCUCGGACAAAGCCGAGGAAUUUCUCCUGCUCUGUAAGGAACUAGAGCUUGUUGAUAUUCAGAUUUUAAUAAGAAGCCCUGCCUCCCGCAGGCGCUCCAUAAAUAUUAACUGGACAACUUCAUUGCGCGCUGCGGGGCCUUGGGGAGACCCGCGGCUCCCACCUACUCGGGGUGGGGACCCGCGGAGCCUCAACCUGCACCCCCCGACCGGCUCCCAGACUGGAGACACCACGGUCCGCAACCGGAGUGCGGCCGAGACGUACCGCGUUGGCAGACCCCGGCCCCACUUAGACCUGCCUUGCCGCUCUAAGCCCCUAAGACUCCAAACUUUCAGCGCGGUGCCCCCGAGCUCCGGAAGCCCUGGUAGGCGGUGGUCCACCCAGGCCCCGCCCCCUGCGCGGACGCUCCCCGCGUCCUCUCGGCCCAAGCCCCGCCCCGUGCCCGUUUGCUCCGGACGUCGGCGGCUCCAGACCCCGCCCCCUAACCCGCUACUGCAAACGUCCUCUGGGCCAGGCCCCGCCCUCCGCCCGGCUGCUUCCAGGCUUCCUCUGGUCCAGGCCCCGCUCCCUACCCGGCUGUUCCAGGCGUCCUCUGGGUUAGACUCCGCCCCCCAUCGGCCGCUACAGGCCCCGCCUCCCGUCCGGCUGCUCCAGGCGUCCUGUGCCCCAAGCCCUGCCCCGUGCCCCGCGGCUCCAGGCCCCGCCUUCCGUACGGGUGCUCCAGGCGUUCUCUGGCCCAGGCCCCGCCCCCUGCCCGGCCGCUCAGCCAUACUCGGGGCCAGGCACCGCCCCGCGCCCGGCUGCUCCAGGUCCCGCCCCGCCCCCUCAGAGCGCGGUCGGCUCGGCAGCCUGUGGGACGCGAUCGCCGCGCUUGUCUCGCUCCUUUGUGCUCGGGCGGCGGCGACCUCUCGGGUCCUCCCCGACGCAUCCUCGGCCAGCGAGCUCCGCGCUCCCCGGUGA
rnacentral:lncRNA from 13 species